rnacentral:rRNA from 1 species
UACGGAAGGCAGCAGGUGGGGAAUAUUGCACAAUGGGCGAAAGCCUGAUGCAGCUAUGCCGCGUGUAUGAAGAAGGCCUUAGGGUUGUAAAGUACUUUCAUCGGGGAAGGAAAAAACAAAACUAAUAAUUUUAUUUCUUGACGUUACCCGAAAAAGAAGCACCGGCUAACUCCGUGCCAGCAGCCGCGGUAAUACGGAGGGUGCUAGCGUUAAUCAGAAUUACUGGGCGUAAAGAGCACGUAGGUGGUUUUUUUAAGUCAGAUGUGAAAUCCCUGGGCUUAACCUAGGAACUGCAUUUUGAAACUGAAAUACUAGAGUAUCGUAGAGGGAGGUAGAAUUCUAGGUGUAGCGGUGAAAUGCGUAGAUAUCUGGAGGAAUACCUGUGGGCGAAAAGCGGCCUCCUAAACCGAAUACUGACACUGAGGGUGCGAAAAGCGUGGGGAGCAAACCAGGGAUUAGAUACC